UGUAAUUUACAUCUCAUUUGGUUCUCAGAACACAAUCAGUGCAACCCAAAUGAUGGAAUUGACUGUUGGGUUGGAAGAAAUCGGAAAGCCUUUUGUUUGGGUCAUAAGGCCUCCGGUGGGGUUUGAUGUGAAGGGAGACUUCAAAGCAGAGUGGCUGCCUGACGGGUUUGAGGAAAGAAUGAGUAAACGAAAACAGGGGUUGCUAGUGCACAACUGGGCACCCCAGUUGGAGAUUUUGUCAUACAAAUCCACUGGGUUUUUUGUGAGCCAUUGCGGGUGGAAUUCAGUGAUGGAGAGCUUGAGCCAGGGCGUGCCGAUUGUGGGGUGGCCGUUGGCGGCGGAGCAGGCUUACAAUUCGUAGAUGUUGGUGGAGGAGAUGGGUGUGAGUGUGGAGCUGACAAGGGGUGUGCAGAGUUACAUUGGAUGGAAGGAGGUGAAGGAGGUGAUUGAUUUGGUGAUGGAUGAGAGUGGGAAGGGAGGGGGAUGAGGAAAAAUGCCGGUGAGAUUAAGGAGAAAUUAAGAAGAUCAAUUAGAGAUAAUGAUGGUGAUCAAGGAAAGGAGAAGGGGUCUCCUGUCAAGGCCAUGGAGGAUUUUGUGGCUGCUCUUUUAUCAAAGAAACAAGAUUGAUCAAAAGUUAAUUAGAGGUGAUUAGGUUACUGGUAAUUUCAACUCAAUUGAGAAAUUCCUAUUGUUUGCAAAUGGAUAGGUUUUGAUUCAAAAGACGUUAAUCAAUGUUUGAUACUCUAGAAAGUUAUUUUGCUUUUGUUAUCUAUGAAAACUCGGAAAAGAACCAUACAUAAAAUGCCAAAGCCUAUUGGUCGAAAUGCCCCUAAAAUUACUAUUGAGUUUUAGUUUACCCGCUAAAACUGGUCUUAUCUCACUUUACCUCCUGAAAAUGACAUUUUCAACUCUUUUGUCUCACUUUACCCACUUUCAUUAAUGGACUGUUAAAUUUAAGGGUAUUUUAGACAUUUCAAUUUUUACACAUUUAUUUACCUUUAGCCCCCACACUAAACAAGUCUCAAUUUUAUUUUUGACAACUCUAAUUCAAACGUAUAGAUUUUGAGCAUUUAAAAAAAAAAAUUAUUCUUGAGAAAAAUUUCAAUCAACAAAAUCAUUCUAUCAACCAAAAUAAAGUUUACACUUGUUCGUAGAGUCAUUUCAUUUGUAAAGCAUCCAUGUAUUGGCUCGAAACUUUGCAACUGAAAAAUAUUCAUUACAACAAAAUCAUUAUGCAUUUAAGCUGACCUAUCCAAAAUACUUCUCAAACCAAAAAAGUAAUUUCAAGCAAAUGUGCACAGUUUGAACAAGCUCAUGCCUAGUGGAAUCAGUGCUCAACAAUGUGAAAUUUUUUUGUUUAAACUGUGCAAAUUUGCUUUAAAUGAUUUUUUUGGUUUGGGAAGUAUUUUGGAUAGGAUAGCUUAAUGGUAUAAUGAUUUUGUUGUAAUGAAUAUUUUUCAAUUACAAAGUUUCGAGCCAAUACAUGGAUGUCUUGCAAAUGAAAUGAUUAUACGAACAAAAUGUAACCCUUAUUUUGGUUGAUACAAUAAUUUUGUUGCUCAGAAUUUUUUUAUUGAUUGAAUAAUUUAUUUUCAAAAAUGCCCAAAAUUGAUGCGUUUGAUUUAGAGUUGUCAAAAAUAAAUUUGAGACUUGUUUUAGUGUGGGGGCUAGAGGUAAAUAAAUGUGUAAAAACUAAAAUGUCUAAAAUACCCUUAAAUUUAAUAGUUCAUUAACGAAGUGGCUAAAGUGAGAUAAAAGAGUUGAAAAUGUCAGUUUAAGGGGGCAAAGUGAGACAAAACCAGUUUCAGAGGAUAAACUGAGACUCAAUGGCAGUUUUAGGGGGCAUUUCAACUAAUAAGCCAAAUGCGAAUGAUAUUUUUAAAGUGUUAAUAACAUUUAGGAUUCACACAGAAAAAUUAAUGAAAAACAAGGUGCAAAAUUGAAUGCAGUGACAUUUUAGAAUUCAUGUGGCUAACACCACUUAAUGGCAUAAGACUUUGUUGUUAUUGUUGUUUGUUGAUAACAUCUUUUUAUUAUGGAUGAUGCUAGAGAAACUAAUGCUUUAAAUCAUUUUUUGUAAAACCCAUGAUGUGACGAUUGAUGGUUGAACUCUUUUUAUAACCAUUUUUGGCUUGCAAAGGGAUAGGUUUUGUUUCAAAAGAUGUUAGGGGUGAGAGAGUUGUAAUUGCUUCAAUUUCUCACCCUCUCUUCAGUCUUCUCCACCCUCUUCAAGAGUUUCUCCCUCCGAUUGCUGUUUUAAGAGUCGACGGCCGGGGCAUUUUCUUUUUACUUUAUGUGUUCAUUUAUCAUCCUAGUCCCCAUCUUGCACCCCUUUUCCCUCAACCCCAGACCUUCCAUAUUUCCACCACCAACCUACAUAUCCGUCCAUUUCAAUCAUUUUCUUCCCUACCAUCUUCCUUUUCCCUUAACCAAACAGCAGGUCUUAAAUUUUUGGGUUGCCUUCUAUUUGAUGAUUUUAUUGGUUGUUUUUACAUUUGGGACUAUCGCUUUUGAUGCCUUCUUGUUUCUGUUUACUGUUGGUGCCGUUCUUCGACCUUACCACAUUUGUGGAUUUCACAUCUUCGGUGGUGGGUUUAGUCAAGGGUCUCAUUUGACCCAUCCUUUGAUCGAUUGAGGAUGACGCCGGUUGUUGGCCCAUGUUGGAUGCUACAACACCAUCCUUUCCAGAUCUAUUGUCGAGGCUUCGGUCUCUUCUUUGAUGCUCGGGGUUUCUUGCGGCGGCUGUGGCAGGAAGGUUGCUGAAGUUGUCAGGGUUUUUGUGUGUUUUGGUUUUUUUUCUGUUGUGGGCUCCAAUGUCUGUAUUGGGCUCUUACAUUUGUUUAUAUGGAGGGUCCAACCUAAUGUCUUGUGUUUAAUUUUGUAUUUGGGCUUUCUUUACUGUAAUAUUUCUUUGUUAAAAGUACAAAGAAAAGCCUGCACAUGGCUAAUGGUUGGUUUGGUAUUGAUGUGCUUUGAAAAAAAACUGUUUCUGUUGUACUGUGAGAAUAAGCUCAUUUUUGCUGCUUCACGUUUUCAGCCUUUUUUCACCAAAAAUUGUGAAAAUAAGCUGUUUUUAAGUGUUAAUCAAACAUCUUUUUCAGCUCAAUUUUUUUUGAUAUCCAUUUUUUAUAAAAACACCUCAGUACCAAACCAGUAUUAAGAGGGUAGGGUUAAAACUUGGAACAAAUGCCCUCACAUUAUGUUCACAUGUGUAAGCUACAUAUCUAAACUUGUGAAAAUUGAAUCUAUAUGAAUUAAAGUGGAACUUUAUUCAACGUAAAAAUCGACCUUUCACUUUAAGGCACCUUAGUAAUUAUAAGGGGUGUGCUAUCCACACAUCCCAUUUUACUUCUCACACAUCUCUUGAUAAUUUUUGUCCGUUGAUUUUCUUCAUUUCAUCCGAUUCGACGGUUGAAAAUAAAAAAAUGUGUGAAAAGUAAAAUGAAUAAUGCUUUUACGAGUCACACACCCCUAAUUAUAAUGCUUAUACACUCGUAAAUUUCUAAACUAUAAUUUUGUUUCACUCCACUCUUAUCCCGUUUGGUAAACAUACCAUUAGAAAACUAAUUUCAAAUUGCGACGUUGAAGAUAGAAGAUGAAAUAUUCAUUCUCGAAAGUUAUCACUUAAAAGUCUACAAUUAUCUGCGACGUACGCAACGCAAUCUUAGAAAUGGAAGAGCAUGCAUCACAUUGAAGCAGAACUGAACUACAAACCAAAAUAUAUAAUUAGUUUCAACGUGACUCACAACCUUGCUCUUUUUGUUUAUACAGCAGACCUAUUUAGGGAAAUAAUGUAUCUGGUCGGUCGGGUGCAUACUGCAUUGGCUUCCAACUUCUAACGUGGCAAUGUCGGUCAGUAUCACAAUAUGUCAGGAUAUUUGUGAUGCCAUUUCCUCCACGUCGGUCCGUUUUUUUGCACAAACUAGAUGUCAAUCAAAUCCAAGUCUGUAUUGCUUUUGCUUGCAUAACCCAACUUUUGUUUUAGUUCCCCACCAACGCAUAUUGAUUUGUUAAAAUUCCCUUCGAAAAUAAGGUAAAUGAAUGAAUUAAAGAAAAAUAUAUUUUUUCAAGAAUAGUAAGAAUUUUUUUUUAAAAUAAGACUCUUAAUAGAUUAUCUCACAGUUUAACGUUAAUUUUCAUAUCAACAUUAUAACACAUUGCAUCAAAAUAUAAGUUAACAAAUAGUUCAUAGAGAGUCAUUUUUCGGAUCAACCUCCUUAACAUUUUACUUGAUAAAAGUAUUAAAUUACCUGAUAAUCAAGAAUUCUAAAAACAGAAAAUAACUAAUAAUGUAAUAAGAAUAUCAUUUUACUUGAUAAAAGUAUUAAAUUACCUGCUAAUCAAGAAUACUAAAAAUAGAAAAUAACUAAUAAUGUAAUAAGAAUAUCUGUUCCAUGAUGGAACAAGUAUAAGAUUUUUAUUUUUUAUUCAUGAUAUUUUUGGCAUUUUUGGUUAUUCAAAUUAAUCUAGUGCAGCAAGUAGUAGAUUAUUUUAGUUGUUCAACAUCAUGUCUCAGAUUCAAAUUCCUUUUCUAAGAUAGUAAUAUCACUCGUACUAAAAUAUAAUUAAUUUAGUGUAAACAAUAAUGUUAGAUAAAUCAAUUUUUAAGACUAAAUAUGUAAAUCAUGUGAUGUGUCAUCAAUAAGAAAUAAACACAUUAAUCAACACUUAAGUAAUAAUCAAAUUAACAACUACGUCAUAUAAAUUCCAAAUUUAGUUAAAAUAGUCGAUAUUUCUAGUAUUAUUCUAACGUAAAACAUCGUUAGAUUAAAAUGUAACAAAAAUGUAUAUUAUCAAUGAUACGAUAAUUUUUUUAUUAUGAUCGGAACACGAGUAAUAUUCCACAUAUUUUUAUAUAAGUGGUGGUUAAUUUUAUUUUUUAAGUUAUUAACUUUUUAACACACAUAUCCUACAAUUUAUAUAAUAACACAUAAUAUAACACCAUUGUUCCUAUCAUACUGGAAAAUAUCUCCAAUGAUACAUCCAAACAACAAAAAUCCCAAAAACCAAAAUAAAAUGGGAUUUUUGUUGAGAGCAUAUAAUUCAUUCGGUUCUGCCAUUCAAUUCCAUUCCAUUCAUAUGAUAUAUAUAUAUACAUGGUUUAAAAUAUCCAUAAUAUCUCGAUAUUUCCAUCGAAAUUUCCGUGUUUUUGGACUACCGAUAUUUCCGAUAUCAUCGAUAUUUUAGACCUUACUAAGUUACUCAUGUAUCUUACCAUACAAUGUAUAAAGUGUAAAAUAUUGUACUAAUUCAUUAUAUAUAAAUGAUUAUGGUGUGUUUAAACUUUUUUGAUUAGUUACUACAUAUUUUCUACCCUCAUAAUGUUUGCUAGCUUACUAUAUAAUCAACUUAAAUCAGUUAUAUCUAUCAUGCAAUGCAUUUCCUUCCAAUUUUUUUGUGAUAACUAAUAGAUAAUUGACUAAAUAAACAUCCUGCAAAGUUUCAAUAAAAAUUUUCAAGUUUUUCUUACAUUUUCCGUAGUUUUUAUUUAAUUUUUAUCGAUAUCGAUAAUAUCCCGAUAUUUCCAUCAAAAUUUCUGUGUUUUUAAACUACCGAUAUUUCCGAUAUUAUCGAUACUUUAUACCUUAUAUAUAUACAUAUAUGCUCAUUGCUAAACCUCUCACCCUUACCGACCUCUGAAAAAUAGCAUACAUUCUUUUUCUGCCUCCUCCUCCUCACCAUUACAGAUAACUCACAAAAUCCUCAGGAUAAAAAUAUGGGGUUUGAGAGAGAGCAUAUUGUGAUGCUGCCGUUCAUGGCGCAAGGCCAUAUCAUACCAUUCCUAGCACUUGCAAAGCAAAUCCAGGAGUUAACAAACUUCACAAUCACCAUCGCCACCACCCCUCUCAACAUCAAAUCCCUCCAAUCCACCAUUUCCACCGCCUCAUCCAAUCACAACAACAUCCACUUGGCCGAACUUCCCUUCUGCAGCUCAGACCACGACCUGCCCCCCAACACAGAAACCACCGAGAACCUCCCCUUCCCCAAAAUCAUCAACCUUUUCGCCGCUUCAGUCGCCCUUGAACCUCCAUCCCGCCGCCUUAUCUCCGAUAUCAUCGAAAAAGAAGGCCGCCCGCCGCUCUGUUUGAUCUCCGAUGUUUUCUUCGGAUGGGCUACUGAUCUUGCAAACAGCUUAGGCACUGUCAAUGUGAGUUUCACCACAGGCGGGGCUUACGGCUCUGCAGCCUACACAUCAAUAUGGCUCAACCUGCCUCACCGCUCCGCAAGCAACGAAUACUUCACCCUCCCCGGCUUCCCGGAACGCUGCAGGUUCCACAUCUCUCAGCUGCAUCCGUUUCUAAGAGCUGCAGACGGCACAGAUUCUUGGUCAAGAUUUUUCCAGCCUCAGAUUUCGGGUUCUACAAAAUCUUUUGGUUGGCUGUGUAAUACUGUGGAGGAAAUUGAGCCGUUGGGAUUGGAUAUCUUGAGGGAUUACUUGAAGCUUCCUGUUUGGUGCAUUGGUCCUCUAAUUCCUACUGAUGCACUCAAAAACUCAUCCACAUUGGACUUAAAGGUCUCGAGGCAGCGCGCCGGAAAAGAAAUGGGCUUUUCGGCCGAGAAAUGCCUCGAGUGGCUUGACUUGCAAGGUCCGAAUUCUGUAAUUUACAUCUCAUUUGGUUCUCAGAACACAAUCAGUGCAACCCAAAUGAAGGAAUUGGCUGUUGGGUUGGAAGAAAGCGGAAAACCUUUCGUUUGGGUGAUAAGGCCUCCGGUGGGGUUUGAUCUGAAGGGAGAGUUCAGAGCAGAGUGGCUGCCUCAUGGAUUUGAGGAGAGAAUGAGUAAACGAAAACAGGGGUUGCUAGUGCACAACUGGGCACCCCAGUUGGAGAUUUUGUCACACAAAUCCAUAGGGCUUUUUGUGAGCCAUUGUGGGUGGAAUUCAGUGAUGGAGAGCUUGAGCCAGGGCGUGCCGAUUGUUGGGUGGCCGUUGGCGGCGGAGCAGGCCUAUAAUUCGAAGAUGUUGGUGGAGGAGAUGGGUGUGAGCGUGGAGCUGACAAGGGGUGUGCAGAGUAAUAUUGGAUGGAAAGAGGUGAAGGAGGUGAUUGAUUUGGUGAUGGAUGAGAGUGGGAAGGGAGGGGAGAUGAGGAAGAAUGCUGGUGAGAUUAAGGUGAAGAUAAG
rnacentral:lncRNA from 1 species